GACGUCAAAUCAUCAUGCCCCUUAGUGUUCUGGGCUACACACGUGCUACAAUGGCCGGUACAAAGGGACGCAAAGCCGCGAGGUGGAGCAAAUCCGAUAAAAGCCGGUCUCAGUUCGGAUUGCAGGCUGAAAUUCGCCUGCAUGAAGUCGGAAUCGCUAGUAAUCGCAGGUCAGCAUACUGCGGUGAAUACGUUCCCGGGCCUU
rnacentral:rRNA from 1 species